CACGUAGGGCGCAAGCGUUGUCCGGAAUUAUUGGGCGUAAAGAGCUCGUAGGCGGUCUGUUGAGUCCGAUGUGAAAACUCGGGGCUUAACCCCGAGCCUGCAGUGGAUACGGGCAGACUAGAGGUAGGUAGGGGAGAAUGGAAUUCCCGGUGUAGCGGUGAAAUGCGCAGAUAUCGGGAGGAACACCGGUGGCGAAGGCGGUUCUCUGGGCCUUGCCUGACGCUGAGGAGCGAAAGCGUGGGGAGCGAACAGG
rnacentral:rRNA from 1 species